rnacentral:rRNA from 1 species
UACGUAGGUGGCAAGCGUUGUCCGGAAUUACUGGGUGUAAAGGGCGUGUAGGCGGGAAUGUAAGUCAGGUGUGAAAUUCUGGGGCUCAACCCCAGCGCUGCACCUGAAACUAUGUUUCUUGAGUGCUGGAGAGGAAAGCGGAAUUCCUAGUGUAGCGGUGAAAUGCGUAGAUAUUAGGAGGAACACCAGUGGCGAAGGCGGCUUUCUGGACAGUAACUGACGCUGAGGCGCGAAAGCGUGGGGAG